UACGAAGGGGGCUAGCGUUGCUCGGAAUCACUGGGCGUAAAGCGCACGUAGGCGGCUUUUUAAGUCAGGGGUGAAAUCCUGGAGCUCAACUCCAGAACUGCCUUUGAUACUGAAGAUCUUGAGUUCGGGAGAGGUGAGUGGAACUGCGAGUGUAGAGGUGAAAUUCGUAGAUAUUCGCAAGAACACCAGUGGCGAAGGCGGCUCACUGGCCCGGUACUGACGCUGAGGUGCGAAAGCGUGGGGAGCAAACAGGG
rnacentral:rRNA from 1 species